rnacentral:ncRNA from 1 species
CAAUAGAGGCGCGGAGCUUAUUAGUACCUGUCUGGAGACAACGGAGUCCGGGAAGGACAGGAAAAGGAAGUUUCGCCGAAACCAGCGGCUGCCGUAGGCCGUCUGAGUUGGGGCAUAAGUCGAACAGGCUAUGCACUCUCACCGUUAAGGUGUUGGAG